rnacentral:rRNA from 1 species
GACGAACGCUGGCGGCGUGCUUAACACAUGCAAGUCGAGCGAUGAAGCACCUUCGGGUGUGAAUUAGCGGCGAACGGGUGAGGAACACGUGAGAAAUCUGCCUUCAACACUGGGAUAACUCCGGGAAACCGGGGCUAAUACCGGAUAUGAAACCUGCGGGCAUCCGCGGGUUUGGAAAGUUUUUCGGUUGAAGAUGAUCUCGCGGCCUAUCAGCUUGUUGGUGAGGUAAUGGCUCAACAAGGGGACGACGGGUAGCUGGCCUGAGAGGGCGACCGGCCACACUGGGACUGAGACACGGCCCAGACUCCUACGGGAGGCAGCAGUGGGGAAUAUUGGGCAAUGGAGGAAACUCUGACCCAGCGACGCCGCGUGCGGGAUGAAGGCCUUCGGGUUGUAAACCGCUUUCAGCAGGGAAGAAGCGAAAGUGACGGUACCUGCAGAAGAAGCACCGGCUAACUAUGUGCCAGCAGCCGCGGUAA